UACGGGGGGAGCAAGCGUUGUUCGGAUUUACUGGGCGUAAAGGGCGCGUAGGCGGCCUCUGCAAGUCAGUUGUGAAAUCUCCGGGCUUAACUCGGAAAGGUCAACUGAUACUGCAGGGCUAGAGUGCGGAAGGGGCAACUGGAAUUCUCGGUGUAGCGGUGAAAUGCGUAGAUAUCGAGAGGAACACCUGCGGCGAAGGCGGGUUGCUGGGCCGACACUGACGCUGAAGCGCGAAAGCCAGGGGAGCGAACGGG
rnacentral:rRNA from 1 species